rnacentral:rRNA from 1 species
UACGGAGAACUCAAGCGCUACCCGGAAUCACUGGGCGUAAAGCGUUGCGUAGGCGGUUUUGCAAGUCGGGUCUUAAAGGCCAAGGCUCAACCUUGGAACUGGGUACGAUACUACAAAACUGGAGGAUGGUAGAGGUGAGUGGAAUUGCUGGUGUAGGAGUGAAAUCCGUAGAUAUCAGCAGGAACACCAAUGGCGAAGGCAGCUCACUGGGCCAUUCCUGACGCUGAGGUGCGAAAGCGUGGGGAGCAAACAGG